GCUUGUCUCAAAGAUUAAGCCAUGCAUGUCUAAGUACAAGCCUCAGUAAGGUGAAACCGCGAAUGGCUCAUUAAAUCACACCUAAUCUACUGGAAAGUUACUAGUUACUUGGAUAACUGAGGUAAUUCUAGAGCUAAUACAUGCGUCAAAUCCCGACUUUUUGGAAGGGAUGUAUUUAUUAGAUAAAAAACCAACCCUUCGGGUUUCUUGGUGAUUCAUAAUAACUUAUCGGAGCUCAUGGCCUUGUGCCGGAGCCAGGUCAUUCAAAUUUCUGCCCUAUCAGCUUUCGAUGGUAGUGUAGUGGACUACCAUGGCUUUAACGGGUGACGGAGAAUUAGGGUUCGAUUCCGGAGAGGGAGCCUGAGAAACGGCUACCACAUCCAAGGAAGGCAGCAGG
rnacentral:rRNA from 1 species